rnacentral:rRNA from 1 species
UUAAAUGAGAGUUUGAUCCUAGCUCAGGAUGAACGCUGGCGGCGUGGAUAAGGCAUGCAAGUCGAACGGCCUAGUCGCUGGUUUUCUGGUCACCUAGUUGCUAGUAUGAAGUCAUGAUAAGAAGCUACGAAGAUUUAGAUGUCUAUAGAAGAUCUUAUCGGCUCGCACUAGAAAUAAACGAAUUGUGCAAAAAGUUGCCGAGGUCCGAAUUACACGGCCUUAGCAGUCAAUUGCGAAGAGCUUCGCGUUCUGUCCCGUCUAACAUAGCGGAGGGCUUUGGGAGAAAAGUGCAUCCGAAGGAAUUUCAAAAUUUUCUCCUAAUCGCGCUCGGAUCGAAUGACGAAGUUAUCUUCAAUAUCAAGUUCAUGAAAGACGCGUCGUAUUACAAAUUUGAGGAAGAGUUGGCAAAAAAUCUCUUCAGUAAAUAAGUGGCUAGAGACUAGAAAUCCAGUGACUAGACAGUGGCGAACGAGUUAGUAUUACCUUGGUACAUACCUCCGAGAUGGGCAUAGCUACCCGAAAGGGUAGAUAAAUCCCAAUGGCCUGGUAGCUGAUUUUUUUUCAAAAUCUAGCAUCUCGGAAGCACCAAAUUACAAGCACAAAGCUCCAAACAAUAUUUAAAUUCUAAAUUUCAAAAUUAGGAUUUGGGAUUUGUUUGGGAUUUCGGAUUUGGGAUUUGGAACUUCCGAGCAGAUUGUGAGAAGUAAUCGGUUACCAGUAAAAGAGCAAUCUGCUCGGUGAGUGGCCUAGGUCCUAUCAGCUAGUUGGUGAGGUAAUGGCUCACCAAGGCUAUGACGGGUAGGGGGUGUGAGAGCACGAUCCUCAACGACGAGACUGAGAACGGCUCGUACUCCUACGGGAGGCAGCAGUCGAGAAUAUUCGACAAUGGGCGAAAGCCUGAUCGAGCGACGCCGCGUGCAGGAAGAAGGCCUUCGGGUUGUAAACUGCUUUUGCGUGGGAAGAAUCCCGCACCUUUUUGGUUUGGUAUGAUACAGUGCGCUUAUGUACUAUGUCUAUGUUCUGUAUAAUCUUGAUGAUGAAUCAGCUAAAAAAAUAUAUAUUGGUGUUACGGAUGAUCUCAUAAGAAGGGUACGCGAGCACAAUUCCGGUCAAAGCAAAUGGACAAGUGGCUUUGGACCUUGGAAACCGGUAUAUUAUGAGGCAUAUCUUUCUGCGAAAGAUGCAAUCAAUCGUGAAAGAAAAUUGAAACAUCACGGAAAAGGGGUAAGCGAAUUAAAGAAAAGAAUCGAAGACAGCGUAUACAAAGCCAAAAAGGUGCGGGACUGACGGUACCACGAGAAUAAGGGGUUGCUAACUCUGUGAUCCCAUACAGGGAUGGUGCAGAGAGAUUGUAGUAAUACAAUCUAAGAAAAUUCAGCUUAUAUGCGGGAACAUUGUUUAUCGUCCGCUGAUAGUGCCUGUUGAAAAAUGGGCCACGGUAAACAACAAUCCGCAGGGAAGUAUAUUCUUCUAGAAAAAGUACCGAGUGAGGUAGUGGGGUUGCCUACUAUCCUCGGUGGGAGAGAAACGUGUCCUGGAGCAACGCACCGUAGUUGCAAACCAGGAAAACGGACUCGGACCACAUAACCCGCCGCGGGAUACUCGGUACCAUUUUUCCAGGAGAAUAUACCCCUCAGAGACUUGGUCAAUUUAAUGGCCAGAUGGUAAGCGGUGAAGCUACUUCGUAGCGGAUGACUUACCAUAAUACGCGAACAUCCUAUUCGAAAGAAAGGAUGAGGAGAUAGUCCAUAGAUUAAAGUUAAAGAUGAAAAUCUUUAUACUAUCGCCAGCAGCAGCGGUAAUACAGAGACCCCGAGCGUUAUCCGGAAUUACUGGGCGUAAAGGGCAAGUAGUCGGUGAUGAUAGUCUGAUGUUAAAUCUCACUGCCCAACGGUGAGGCCGCAUGAGAAACGUCAUCACUAGAGCGAGUCAGAGGCAAGCGGAACGUGCGGUGUAGCGGUGAAAUGCAUUGAUAUCGCACGGAACACCAAACGCGAAGGCAGCUUGCUGGGACUUUGCUGACGAUCAAUUGCGAAAGCGUGGGCAUAAAAAAGGAUUAGAUACCCUUGUAUUCCACGCCCUAAACGAUGCAGACUAGCUAUUGGGGGCAUCGACCCCUCCAGUGGCUUAGCUAACGCGUUAAGUCUGCCGCCUGGGAAGUACGAUCGCAAGAUUAAAACUCAAAGGAAUAGGCGGGAGUUCGCACAAGCGGUGGAUCAUGUGGUUCAAUUCGACACAGAGCGAAAAACCUCACCAAGGCUUGAAAUCCAACUGCAAGCCCGCAGAAACGCGGGCCGCCUUCGAGGGUGUUGGACAGGUGUUGCACGGCUGAAAUUAUCGGCCACCGAGAAAGCAAUUUCUCGAAAAAAACACCAACUCAUAACGGUGAAACCCGACCCCAUUUGUGUUAAAAUGAAUGGAUGGGCAAUACCGUGGGAAGUCCCAGUGCAAAUUUCUUCAACUUUCCUUCAUCACCCGAGGACUAUUAUAUUCUUGGUCUUUGGUGUGCUGAUGGAUAUCAUUGGAGCAGUAGUAUUGGAUUAAGUAAUAUAGACACCGAGCUUGUGAAAAGAUUCGAACAGUUUUUACAAAAAUUGUUCGUUCCAGAACGCAUCAAAUUGCACAUUUAUACGACCGGAAAAAGAAGCCAUCCGGGAUAUAAGUUGUAUGUGAAUUGUAGACCGUUGUUGAGAAUAUUCAAAGGAUUUAAAGAAUCUCGACAACGCAACAUUACCGAUGAUCAAAACAUCCGGGCAUAUUUUGCAGGACGUUUUGAUGGCGAUGGAUGUAUCGACAAAUAUCUUAAAAAAGAUUGUCGAAUCUCAUACGGUAAUAAACUUGAUGCUGUUUUGGACAUAAAUCUUCUUCAGAAGCUUGGAUUUGAGAUGACUCGAUUAUAUUGGUACAAAACUUCGAGCACUCAUGUACUCUAUGUAUCGAGAUUCGAAACUGAAAAGUUUUCGAAUCUACUUAAUCAAUAUUCAUUGAAGUUGCAGAAAUUUGCACUCGGACCCCGUAGAGACUUGGAUCGUCAAAGAGCGAUCCAGACGACAAAUAUUACAUUGUCGUAAAACGUUGGCUCCGCCCACAGCUACGCAGUUGCUGGCGGAUGAAAGUAUAGUCCGUACCAUUAGGGAUAGUGGAUGCAUAUGGUCGUCAGCUCGUCGCGUGAGCGGUUCCCUUAAGUGGGGAAACGAGCGCAACCCCCGUUGCCUGUUAUAAGUGUCAGGCGAGACUGCCCGGGUUGACCGGGAGGAAGGAGGGGAUGACGUCAAGUCAGCGUGACCCUUUGAUGCCUUGGGCUACACACAUGAUACAAUGGAUGCAACAAUGGGUUGCCAAGCCGCGAGGCGGAGCUAAUCCCAUCAAAUACAUCCUCAGUUCGGAUUGGAGGCUGCAACUUGCCUCCAUGAAGCUGGAAUCGCUAGUAAUCGCAGAUCAGCACGCUGCGGUGAAUACGUUCUCGAACUUUGCACUCAAAAUUAAAGGCGCCUGGCAGUUCAUAUAUCCAAAUGGUUGAAAUCCAUUCAUU